GGCAUUAUAUUGAUAAAGCUAGAGAGUCAUACAAGGUCUCCCGGAUACAACCCAGAGCGGAAUGAAAAACGCACAGCAAAUUAAAGUUCUUACAAGAAUUGGCCAAAACAUGGGCCACUGCAUUACAAUGCCGACAAGUAAAGGUCAUGGUCACUUGUUUGAUCACCCGCAAAAAAAAUGGUUGCUUGUUUGAUAUAAACCAUAGAGCCCUCAUUGAUCCCAGAUGGAGUUAAUCCGUUGUACCAAAGAGAGGCAAUCUGAGGCGAAUAUCACGUGCGUGAAUUGCUUGUCUCGAGCCAUUGUUACCACUCGAUGGCACGCAAGCGCUUCCUUCUUCGGAUCCAAGAAUCCAGAAUUGGCUCAGAAUAUGCCACGAGGCAAUUUCCUUCAUGAUCAAGAGCCACCACUCAUAAACCAGUUUUUGUUGAUAUUAGCAAAAAUAGCAGCAUCCGAAUAAAAUUGAGCCAUACCUGCCGGCGGCGGAAAGCAACUGGAGCUAGAAGCAUGAGUCUCACGUCUUUUAGCUAGUAUUGGCUUGUAUAAAUGCAUCAGUAUCAUCUCAACAUAAGCACGGACCUUCGCAAUAGAAACACGUGUAUGAUGAUAAACAACUUAUUUUCUUGCCACAUUUCGGGCUUUCCAUAUGUGCCAUACCGUCACAGCAAGAACAGUGGCUUUCCGGUUGGAAGAACAAAGGACAAAGUCAAAUAACCACUGCAUGGGUGAGCGAAAAUUAUGAGCGGCACAAAUUAACAUCAAAGCAAAGAUUUUUACCCCAUCCCAUAUGGCACGAGCAUGGGGACAAAAUAGGAUUGCAUCCUCAAUACUUUUCGGUCUACAACAAAAGCAUUGGAGCAGGUACUUGCCGCUGAAGAAGUUGUUCGCCGGAAGGCAAAUAAUUAAGUGUGAAACGCCAUAAGAGAAUCUUCAUUUUAUCAGCAGAUUUGAUCGGCCAUAUGGAUUUUCAAAUUUUCUCUUAUGUUGCUCUAUCAUAAGAAUGGCCAAUCCUUUGAGUUUAACGCCAAAGCCCAUCACAUGCCUUUGGAAUCAUUACAGCAGGCAUCAAAGAAAAAAUGACGGUUCACCUUCUCCCCCGGGCUUGACACGCCUCUGCGAGCCGCCGUGUCGAAAAAUGACUUACGCGGCAAAGCAUAAUCCAAAUCGGCAUAAACAUUGUUGCUUUGCUAAUCUUUACCUACUAUAAUAAAGCAGCGAUUGCUUUUGGUUGUACGUCGUCAGCGUUUUUGCAAAACAGUCCUUCUAUUUCUUUGAAAUAAACCCGCAGUCUCUGUUUAAGUGCCACUCUGAAAAAGGUUUUAUUUUUACCUAAACACCCCCACAUUUGUUAAAAAUUAUGCCCACGACCCUAUCUCUUAUUGGACUGGCUCAUCACCGCGCAUCUCGCCGCUUAUCAUGUCGUUCUGCACCGCGGGGCACGCGCCGCCGGUGCCGCGGCGGGCGUCCGCGCCGAGGCGGGGCACCGUCUGGAGCACGGCGUGCACUCGACGGACACCGGAGCGAAGCGUGUUUGAGGCGCGAGAGGCGGGAGGCUGGAUCUCGACGCGGCUCCUCUUCACACACAGCCCAGCCGCCGCCCCGCUGCCAUGAACAGCCCAGCCGCGGAGAGGUGUGAGAUCCGGGGCGGGGAGGGAGAAACGAGCUUACGGCUUCGUCCUCGCUCGUGGAUGCGUAGACGAACAGAAGGCAAGCGUUUGUCUCCUUCGGUCUCGAUGCGGACGAGCAGCUGCGGCUAGGCCCUCGGCGCAACGUGCAGGCGAGCGGGCGUGCAGUGGCUAGGUGUGAUGCGCACCACGCGCGAACCAGUGCGGUCACGCGGCGAGCAGAGUGUCCUGGCGAGCGGGAAGCUUGGGGGUCAACGCAUCCUGGCGAACGGUCGUUGUUGCGCUCGAGCGCUGCUCCCUCGCGCUGGAAGAAAGUUCGGCGGCAACUCUCCAGGGACUUGUGGCGGGGCGACACGGAUCCGACAGGGACGGCCUGGAUCUGGACAGGGUUGAGGAGGGCGCGGCUCCCAGGGUUGGACUAUUGGACUUGAGCUCGAUGCAACAUCCAUGGCAGCUCGCGGUCCUGUAGCAAUGAGAAGAGAGAGGAAGUUAAGAGAGAUAGAGAAGAAAGAGGAAGGAGGAAGAAGAAGGAGAAGGGAGCAGAGGCAGGGGGCUGCCCGGCUUGCUGCUGGUGCUCGCCGGCGCACGCGGCUCGGGGAGGCUCGGGCGCUCGUGCAGCUCCAUGGGAGGAGCUCAUGGAUGGCCGGAUGGAUGGAUAAGAGGAAGGAUAGCAGCGCCGCUGGGAGGAAUGGCAACGUGGAUAACGUCCACACAAUGGGAAGCUCUCGGUGGGGAUUCUUGGUAUGGAAUGUGGAUUGCUUUAAUGGCUGCACUGAUGAGUGACGAGA
rnacentral:lncRNA from 1 species